AUUGAACGCUGGCGGCAUGCUUUACACAUGCAAGUCGAACGGUAACAGGCCGCAAGGUGCUGACGAGUGGCGAACGGGUGAGUGAUGCAUCGGAACGUGCCCAGUCGUGGGGGAUAACUACUCGAAAGAGUAGCUAAUACCGCAUACGAUCUAUGGAUGAAAGCGGGGGACCGUAAGGCCUCGCGCGAUUGGAGCGGCCGAUGUCAGAUUAGGUAGUUGGUGGGGUAAAGGCUCACCAAGCCAACGAUCUGUAGCUGGUCUGAGAGGACGACCAGCCACACUGGGACUGAGACACGGCCCAGACUCCUACGGGAGGCAGCAGUGGGGAAUUUUGGACAAUGGGCGCAAGCCUGAUCCAGCAAUGCCGCGUGCAGGAAGAAGGCCUUCGGGUUGUAAACUGCUUUUGUACGGAACGAAACGGCUCUGGUUAAUACCCGGGGCUAAUGACGGUACCGUAAGAAUAAGCACCGGCUAACUACGUG
rnacentral:rRNA from 1 species